GAUAUACUUAGUCUUAAUAUUAGUAAUUGGUUAUUUUAAUUUGAUAUUUAAAUAUUAAUUUUUGUGGGUUAAAAUUUGUCUUAAAGAUAUUUAAUUUUAUUUGUAGUUUUUAAUAUUAUAUAUUAAAGAAAUUUAAAUAUAGUUAAUUUAUUUAGAAUUAUAUAAGGUUGUGCCAGCAUAUGCGGUUAUACUAUCAAUUCAAAUCAAUUUUAUUGAUAUUCAUUAUAUUUUAUUUUAUUGAGUUAUUUUUUGUUUAUAUUAGGUGAAAUUUUAUUAUUUUAUUACUCUUGGUUAAUUAUUAUGAAAAAGUUAUUUAUUAAACUAGGAUUAGAUACCCUAUUAUAAUUAACUGUAAUUUUAAUAUUCUUGUUAUUAAUAGUUAUGUUCUUUAAAUCAAAAAGGCUUGGCGGUGAUUUAUUCUUUUCAGAGGAACCUGUUCUAUAAUUGAUAUUCCACGUUUGGUUUUACUUUUAUUUUGUUUGUAUAUCUCUGUCAUUGAAUGUUUUAUUAGGAUAUUUUCUUUAAUUAUUUCAUAUUUAAUGUCAAGUCAAGGUGCAGCUUUAUAAAAGGUUGAAAUGGGUUACAUUUAAUUUAUUUAUUGGAUACAUUUAUUAAAUUAAAUUGUUUAAAUAGGAUUUGAUAGUAAAUAUAAUUAAAUAUUUAUAUUGAUUUAGCUCUAAUUCAUGUACAUAUCGCCCGUCACUCUCAUUUUAAGAUGGGAUAAGUCGUAACAAAGUAAUUUUAUCGGAAGGUGAGGUUGGAAAUU
rnacentral:ncRNA from 1 species